rnacentral:rRNA from 1 species
AUUGAACGCUGGCGGCAGGCCUAACACAUGCAAGUCGAACGAGUGGCGGACGGGUGAGUAAUGUCUGGGAAACUGCCUGAUGGAGGGGGAUAACUAAUGGAAACGGUGGCUAAUACCGCAUAACAUCCGAUGUGCCCAGAUGGGAUUAGCUUGUUGGUGGGGUAAAGGCUAACCAAGGCGGAGAUCCCUAGCGGGUCUGAGAGGAUGACCAGCCACACUGGAAUUAGGACACGGUCAAGACUCCUCCGUGAGGCAGCAGUGGGGAAUAUUGCACAAUGGGCGCAAGCCUGAUGCAGCCAUGCCGCGUGCAUGAAGAAGGUCUUCGGGUUGUAAAGUACUAUCAUCGGGGAGGCGUUACCCGCAGAAUAGGCACCGGCUAACGCCGUGCCAGCCGCCGCGGUAAUAC